ACAACUCAGAGGCUGCCUCUGCCCCAGGAUUGGUGAACCGAGUCCUUCCUGUCCCCCCUGACCCAGGAGGGUUAGCGACUGGGGAUGCGAGUGGAGGACGGACAAGACGUAGAAGAGGGAUCAAGGGGGAAGAGGACUGAGCUACCUACCAUGAGGAGCCACAGAGAGGACAGACUUCCUGGAAGAGAGAGUCCUGCAUUAGAGCAGAACAGAGCCCAGAGGAGAAAAAGAAAGUGGAGCAGGGAAAAUGGGAACAAUAGGAAACUUUGUGUUGAACAGCGGAAGGAAGAUGGCAUUAGCUGCAGGAGCCCCUUUAGGGCCUGUCAAAGGGAACUCUCCAGCCUACAAAACUGGGACACACAGAAUCCCAAAGUUGACUUCCCGCAAGGACCUGGGACAGACAUGAAAACAUCAGAAGAUGAUCGGGCUCCAGAGACCUUCAGCGGAAUACCGAAAAAACGUAAACCAGGCACGCCAGGUAGGUUCCUGUCACUAACCUAACAACCUGGAGUGUCUCUGGGGCAAGCUGCACAAUGCAUUCGCCUACAGACAAACACACAGACAACAGCAUUCAGAAAAACAGACAAACGGACACCAAGAGACAGAGGUACAAAUCCACAAACAAGUGUGGAAUUUAUAGCCGGAUACCUCUAUCUACACAUACUAUAUUUUCUGUCUCCACCAACGCCCCAUUUCAUGAGCGAGUGGUUGAUCCUCUCUACCAUACUCCUCAGUUCCAGGGGUCCUUGACGUGGGGAGAGGCCAAGGACACUUCUCUUACAAUUGAUUGCUCUUUGCUGCUGAUGGAACGUCUUAUGCUCGAAAUCAGAAUUUGGUCCAAAAAAUUUUGAUGACUGAAAAUAUAUGAAAUUGAAACUCCAAAGCAUGAUUUAAAAGGUGAGUACAUCCCAGGACAUGGCUCUCUGUGCCCCCAGAAUAAACUUAACCUCCUCCCACA
rnacentral:lncRNA from 1 species